AUGCAGUCGAGCGAACUGAUUAGAAGCUUGCUUCUAUGACGUUAGCGGCGGACGGGUGAGUAACACGUGGGCAACCUGCCUGUAAGACUGGGAUAACUUCGGGAAACCGAAGCUAAUACCGGAUAGGAUCUUCUCCUUCAUGGGAGAUGAUUGAAAGAUGGUUUCGGCUAUCACUUACAGAUGGGCCCGCGGUGCAUUAGCUAGUUGGUGAGGUAACGGCUCACCAAGGCAACGAUGCAUAGCCGACCUGAGAGGGUGAUCGGCCACACUGGGACUGAGACACGGCCCAGACUCCUACGGGAGGCAGCAGUAGGGAAUCUUCCGCAAUGGACGAAAGUCUGACGGAGCAACGCCGCGUGAGUGAUGAAGGCUUUCGGGUCGUAAAACUCUGUUGUUAGGGAAGAACAAGUACGAGAGUAACUGCUCGUACCUUGACGGUACCUAACCAGAAAGCCACGGCUAACUACGUGCCAGCAGCCGCGGUAAUACGUAGGUGGCAAGCGUUAUCCGGAAUUAUUGGGCGUAAAGCGCGCGCAGGCGGUUUCUUAAGUCUGAUGUGAAAGCCCACGGCUCAACCGUGGAGGGUCAUUGGAAACUGGGGAACUUGAGUGCAGAAGAGAAAAGCGGAAUUCCACGUGUAGCGGUGAAAUGCGUAGAGAUGUGGAGGAACACCAGUGGCGAAGGCGGCUUUUUGGUCUGUAACUGACGCU
rnacentral:rRNA from 2 species